rnacentral:rRNA from 1 species
GAUUAACGCUGGCGGCGUGCAUGAAACAUGCAAGUCGAGCGCGGCACCUUCGGGUGUCUAGCGGCGCACGGGUGAGUAACACGUGAGCAACCUACCUUCGAGUCUGGGAUAGCCCUGGGAAACCAGGAUUAAUACCGGAUGGUGUCAUCCCGCGGCAUCGCGGGAUGAACAAAGGCGCAAGCCGCUCGAUGACGGGCUCGCGGCCUAUUAGCUUGUUGGUGGGGUAACGGCCUACCAAGGCUCAGAUGGGUAGCUGGUCUGAGAGGACGAUCAGCCA